UUGAAGACAGCGACGGUCCAUUUGAGGCGGUAUCAAGUGAACCGCCGCCGCUCAUGUCAAUACUGACGUUUAAUGCGGCAUUCAUUCAACCGCCGUUGGUGUGUGUAAAUCUCGGCGGUUCCUGUGGUAAAGCGGCGGCAGUUUUAUAGUGUUCCGCGGCAGCUGGAUUAGAAAUAAAUGUUCGUUCACGAUUAGGAAUGAGUACCCCCUCUCUCUUAUUCUCUCGCACGAAAAUUUCACAACCCAGUUUUAGUGUGUAUCGCACGACCCCUUGUUUUAAAAAAAGAAAGCUUCAACACUUCUCUUCUCUUCUCUGCUUGUUCGACCCCUUGUUUUCAAUUUCAGUCAUAUAUUUUGUUGGACUGAAAGCAGUAGUAAGUGAAAGUGUGCAGCAACCACUACUCUGCUAUGACAACUUGAUCAGGACAAUUUUUCUAUUUCAAGAAGGAUAUUGUGUUUUCAAGGCUUACUGUCUUUGAUUGGCGUUGAUUACGGCGUUGGGAAAAAUACUCUAUUGUUGUAGACAAGGGGCAGUAGGAAGCAAGUGCCAUAGACAUGAUCGUGCCAGUAGGAUUGAGAGAAUCUUAAGCUUUUCAUGCAUCUGAUGGCAAUGCUGAACUGGUCUUGUCAAUGCAGUACAUCACCAAAGGGGAGCAGCCAAUUGAAUUUCCAUGACAGCUAUGUUUCUAUUCAAAGCUAUUGGCCCUGCUGCUGGUGGUACAAUGCACAAAUAACUUCAAUAUUGAGGAUGAUCCAUUAUUCUGACAAAGUGCAUGUGCUUAGGGAGGCCAUUAAUAUCCUGUGGAAAUCGAGCAUGGUCCA